rnacentral:lncRNA from 1 species
AGGUGAAGAUCUUCAAAGACUGAAAUUUCAGCAAGAUCCCUGUCAAGGUAUUUCUCAAAUUCUUUGGAGUUUUUUGUUGUGAUUUGGUUUGGAUCUAGCCAUGGCAAGCAAUAUAAAGGUUGAUUUUGAAAAGUUUGAUGGGAAAAAAAUUUUUUCUAUGUGAAAAGUUAGGAUUGAAGAUCUCUUAGUUCAGGCAGAUCUAGAUCAGGUAUUGAAGGAGAAGCCUGAAGAGAUGUC